GACGAACGCUGGCGGCGUGCCUAAUACAUGCAAGUCGAGCGGACUUUCGAGAAGCUUGCUUUUUGAAAGUUAGCGGCGGACGGGUGAGUAACACGUGGGCAACCUGCCUGCAAGACGGGGAUAACUCCGGGAAACCGGAGCUAAUACCGGAUAAUAUCUUCCUUCGCAUGGAGGAAUGUUGAAAGGCGGCUCUAGCUGCCGCUUGCAGUUGAGCCCCGGGCGCAUUAGCUAGUUGGGGAGGUAACGGCUCACCAAGGCGACGAUGCGUAGCCGACCUGAGAGGGUGGUCGGCCAACAUGGGAACGAGACCCGGGCCAGAACCCCUAGGGAAGGAGCAAGAGGGGAACUUUCGGCAAUGACGGAAGGCCGGCGGGGCAACGGCGAGGGGGGGAAGAAGGUCUUCGGGUCGGAAAGCUCCGUUGUCAGGGAAGAAAAAGUAGUGUACGAACAGGGGGGUAUCUUGACGGUACCUGAUCAGAAAGCCACGGCUAACUACGUG
rnacentral:rRNA from 1 species